rnacentral:lncRNA from 1 species
CAGCAGUCAAGCGUGCCUGUAUGCACGAUAUCAGUUCCUUUGUGUCCAGACUGCAUCAUCAUAUGAUGAGGAACCGUGUCAAAAGGAUAGGAAGUCAGGCCAGCAACAGAAGUGACAGACUGUGCAAUCAUCCAGCUGAUGAAGAUCUUAUCUGACAAGGACAGCUCCUGGCAGAGUGACCUAACAUGAGCAUGAGGUACAAUGGGAGCACAACUACUGACCAUCACCAAUAAUUCUGAGUCCCUUGUCCUUACUGAUGUGUUCGUCCAAAGGGACUGUGGCAUUGUGUUGUGUCAGAUACGUUUAUGUGGCACCUGGAGCAGGUUCUGUGACACUGUCUGGAAAGUGACUCUCCAUUCUCACGUCCUUCAAGUCUGGACCAGAGGGUAUGCACUGAACUCUCGGCUGAGUUAGUUAUGAGUCAUGUGCUCUGCUAUGAGUCAAGUCCUGUUCUGAGGAAAUCCCAGAGGUCAUGUGUAAGACAGACCUGUGUCUGAACCCCACAUUCUCUGAUCUCCAUUAGCCACUGUUGAGCCAGGGGAUGUAGUGCCCUUGUGCCCCUCGGUUCAGAUCAGUAUUGAGAAUUCUCCCAAUGUCGGACUGUUCCUUUCCUCAGACAGAGAUACCCUAGGACUGAGGGUGCCUCCUCUGGGGAAGCAAGGAGAAGUUGGGGUUCGUUAUGACUGAUGCUUCUUCCUCCUCAGGCCCUGACACACUCUAUCCAGGCCCAUGACAUUUUGACCUGGUUCAAAUAUGAAAACAAUUACAAGUCCAGAACAAUCCAUUUGGUCCUUUUGUUCAGCCUUGUGUUUCCUAGAGCUAGAUCUCACCUGCUGGUAGAAAGGGAGCCUUCAGCCCAAUGCCCAUCUGCUUUGAGGCUCCAGGGCAUCAUGAUGAAUUUGCAUUCUGUGUUAGUAGGAAGAACAUCUUUGUUCGGUGUUGAUAGGGACUAGAAGUGAGUGGGAUAAGAGUGGAUACACAGAGUAGAGUCUCAACCCAGGGCCCUGUAAGUGUAAAUGUCCCCCACAAAUGUCACCACAGCCUGCACAUAUUUCUGUAGAUCAGAGGGGCAUAAGUGCCUCUGUAGUCAGGUGGGUGAGUGAGCUUCAGUACUCACUCUUGUUCCUUCUUCCCCAACAAGAAAGAGAAGUAGACGGCCAGAACUGGGAAACUGAGUCAUCAGAAAGUAGACAUCUUGGGGUUGGGGAUUUAGCUCAGUGGUAGAGCGCUUGCCUAGGAAGCGCAAGGCCCUGGGUUCGAUCCCCAGCUCCGGAAAAAAAAGAACCAAAAAAAAAAAAAAAAAAGAAAGUAGACAUCUGAGGUCAUCCUUACAUUCUUCCACACAACACCUACCUGAAAUCAUGUCCAUGUCUAGACAUGGGGCCAGGAGACACAGGAAGAGCGAGCUGUCAUGCAUAGUGACACCCAUCUAUUUCUGGUACUGAAGGGAAGGGAGAUUUCUGUGAGUUCAAUGUUAGCUUGAGCUAAAAGGUGCAUUGCAGCCCAGCUUGGGUGGC